AAUAAAGUGCCUGAAAAAGGGUUACUUUGAUAGAGUAAAUCAUGUAGGCAAAUCCUACCCUUAUUA
rnacentral:tRNA from 1 species